rnacentral:rRNA from 1 species
AUUGAACGCUGGCGGCAUGCCUUACACAUGCAAGUCGAACGGUAACGGGCCUUCGGGUGCCGACGAGUGGCGAACGGGUGAGUAAUGUAUCGGAACGUACCUUUCAGGGGGGGCUAACGUAGCGAAAGUUACGCUAAUACCGCAUAUUCUGUGAGCAGGAAAGCAGGGGAACGCAAGACCUUGCGCUGAUGGAGCGGCCGACAUCAGAUUAGCUAGUUGGUGAGGUAAGGGCUCACCAAGGCGACGAUCUGUAGCGGGUCUGAGAGGAUGAUCCGCCACACUGGAACUGAGACACGGUCCAGACUCCUACGGGAGGCAGCAGUGGGGAAUUUUGGACAAUGGGGGCAACCCUGAUCCAGCCAUGCCGCGUGAGUGAAGAAGGCCUUCGGGUUGUAAAGCUCUUUCGGCCGGGAAGAAAUCGCAUGGGUUAAUACCCUGUGCGGAUGACGGUACCGGCAUAAGAAGCACCGGCUAACUACGUGCCAGCCGCCGCAGUAAAAC